UGAUCCAGCCAUGCCGCGUGAGUGACGACGGUCUUCGGACUGUAAAGCUCGUUUCUUGGGGGAAGAACGGCCGAAGGAGGCAUGCCUUCGGUGUGACGGUACCCGAGGAAUAAGCCACGGCUAACUCCGGUGCCAGCAGCCGCGGUAAUACGGAGGUGGCAAGCGUUGUUCGGAAUGACUGGGCGUAAAGGGAGCGCAGGCGGCCUGUUAAGUCCGGCGUGAAAGCCCGAGGCUCAACCCCGGCGGGUCGCCGGAUACUGGCGGGCUCGAGUACGGAAGAGGAGAGUGGAAUUCCAGGUGUAGCGGUGAAAUGCGUAGAUAUCUGGAGGAACACCGGUGGCGAAAGCGGCUCUCUGGUCCGAUACUGACGCUCAGGCUCGAAAGCGUGGGGAGCAAACGGGAUUAGAUACCCCGGUAGUCCACGCCGUAAACGUUGUGCGCUAGGUGUAGGCGGUAUCGACCCCGUCUGUGCCGGAGCUAACGCAUUAAGCGCACCGCCUGGGGAGUACGCCCGCAAGGGUG
rnacentral:rRNA from 1 species